rnacentral:rRNA from 1 species
UACGGAGGGAGCAAGCGUUACUCGGAAUUAUUGGGCGUAAAGGGCGCGUAGGCGAUCUGACAAGUCUGGUGUGAAAGCCCACAUGUUAACUGUGGAAGUGCAUUAGAAACUGUUGGAUUUGAGUUCAGGAGAGGAAGGCAGAAUUCCCGGUGUAGCAGUGAAAUGCGUAGAGAUCAUGAGGAAGACCAGUGGCGAAGGCGGGUCUCUGGACAGUUCCUGACACUGAGACACGAAGGCCAGGGGAGCAAACGGG